rnacentral:rRNA from 1 species
UGGGGAAUUUUGGACAAUGGGCGAAAGCCUGAUCCAGCAAUGCCGCGUGUGUGAAGAAGGCCUUCGGGUUGUAAAGCACUUUUGUCCGGAAAGAAAUCCUUGGCUCUAAUACAGUCGGGGGAUGACGGUACCGGAAGAAUAAGCACCGGCUAACUACGUGCCAGCAGCCGCGGUAAUACGUAGGGUGCAAGCGUUAAUCGGAAUUACUGGGCGUAAAGCGUGCGCAGGCGGUUUGCUAAGACCGAUGUGAAAUCCCCGGGCUCAACCUGGGAACUGCAUUGGUGACUGGCAGGCUAGAGUAUGGCAGAGGGGGGUAGAAUUCCACGUGUAGCAGUGAAAUGCGUAGAGAUGUGGAGGAAUACCGAUGGCGAAGGCAGCCCCCUGGGCCAAUACUGACGCUCAUGCACGAAAGCGUGGGGAGCAAAACAGGAUUAGAUACCCUGGUAGUCCACGCCCUAAAACGAUGUCAACUAGUUGUUGGGGAUUCAUUUCCUUAGUAACGUAGCUAACGCGUGAAGUUGACCGCCUGGGGAGUACGGUCGCAAGAUUAAAACUCAAAUGAAUUGACGGGGUC